rnacentral:rRNA from 1 species
UACCCUGCUUCCAGGAAAAGCCACUAAGCUUCAGCUGCACACGACCGUACCGCAAACCGACACUGGUGCGCGAGAUGAGUAUUCUAAGGCGCUUGAGAGAACUCUGGAGAAGGAACUCGGCAAAUUGACACCGUAACUUCGGAAGAAGGUGUGCCUUUAGUAGGUGAUCCAUUUACUUGGUGAGCCCAAAGAGGCCGCAGAGAAUCGGUGGCUGCGACUGUUUAUUAAAAACACAGCACUCUGCAAAGACGAAAGUCGACGUAUAGGGUGUGACGCCUGCCCGGUGCUGGAAGAUUAAAUGAUGGGGUGCAAGCUCUUGAUUGAAGUCCCAGUAAACGGCGGCUGUAACAAUAACGGUCCUAAGGUAGCGAAAUUCCUUGUCGGGUAAGUUCCGACCUGCACGAAUGGCGUAACGAUGGCCACACUGUCUCCUCCAGAGACUCAGCGAAGUUGAAAUGUUUGUGAUGAUGCAAUCUCCCCCGGAAAGACGGAAAGACCCCAUGAACCUUUACUGUAGCUUUACAUUGGACUUUGAACAGAUCUGUGUAGGAUAGGUGGGAGGCUUUGAAGCGGUGCCGCUAGGUGUCGUGGAGCCAACGUUGAAAUACCACCCUGGUGUGUUUGAGGUUCUAACCUUGGCCCGUUAUCCGGGUUGGGGACAGUGUAUGGUAGGCAGUUUGACUGGGGCGGUCUCCUCCCAAAGCGUAACGGAGGAGUUCGAAGGUACGCUAGGCACGGUCGGAAAUCGUGCUGAUAGUGCAUUGGCAUAAGCGUGCUUGACUGCGAGACCGACAAGUCGAGCAGGUACGAAAGUAGGACAAAGUGAUCCGGUGGUUCUGUAUGGAAGGGCCAUCGCUCAACGGAUAAAAGGUACUCUGGGGAUAACAGGCUGAUACCGCCCAAGAGUUCAUAUCGACGGCGGUGUUUGGCACCUCGAUGUCGGCUCAUCUCAUCCUGGGGCUGUAGCCGGUCCCAAGGGUAUGGCUGUUCGCCAUUUAAAGAGGUACGUGAGCUGGGUUUAAACGUCGUGAGACAGUUUGGUCCCUAUCUUCCGUGGGCGCUGCAAGAUUGAGAGAGCCUGCUCCUAGUACGAGAGGACCGGAGUGGACGCACCUCUGGUGUAUCGGUUGUCACGCCAGUGGCAUUGCCGAGUAGCUAAGUGCGGAAGAGAUAACCGCUGAAAGCAUCUAAGCGGGAAACUCGUCUCAAGAUGAGUCUUGCCGGGGCCUUGAGCCCCCUGAAGAGUCGUUCGAGACCAGGACGUUGAUAGGUCGGGUGUGGAAGCGCAGUAAUGCGUUAAGCUAACCGAUACUAAUUGCUCGUGAGGCUUGACCCU